rnacentral:rRNA from 1 species
UACGUAGGACCCAAGCGUUAUCCGGAAUUACUGGGCGUAAAGAGUUGCGUAGGUGGCAUAGUAAGUAGAUAGUGAAAGCGUGUGGCUCAACCAUACAUCCAUUAUCUAAACUGCUAAGCUAGAGAACGAGAGAGGUAGAUGGAAUUCCUGAUGUAGGGGUAAUAUCCGUAGAUAUCAGGAGGAACACCGAUGGCGUAGGCAGUCUACUGGCUCGUUUCUGACACUAAGGCACGAAAGCGUGGGGAGCAAACAGG